AACGAACGCUGGCGGCAUGCCUAACACAUGCAAGUCGAACGAGACCUUCGGGUCUAGUGGCGCACGGGUGCGUAACGCGUGGGAACCUGCCCUUAGGUUCGGAAUAACUCCCCGAAAGGGGUGCUAAUACCGGAUAAUGUCUUCGGACCAAAGAUUUAUCGCCUUUGGAUGGGCCCGCGUUGGAUUAGCUAGUUGGUAGGGUAAAAGCCUACCAAGGCGACGAUCCAUAGCUGGUCUGAGAGGAUGAUCAGCCACACUGGGACUGAGACACGGCCCAGACUCUUAGGGAGGCAGCAGUGGGGAAUAUUGGACAAUGGGCGAAAGCCUGAUCCAGCAAUGCCGCGUGAGUGAUGAAGGCCUUAGGGUUGUAAAGCUCUUUUACCCGGGAUGAUAAUGACAGUACCGGGAGAAUAAGCUCCGGCUAACUCCGUG
rnacentral:rRNA from 1 species